GCGUGGUCACUGCGACGUGUGUGCAGGGGACAUGGGUGGACUCAGCGGAUUGACCCCACCCGCUCGCUCCCCAGGCCGGGGUUCCUGCACCGUCACCUACCUGCUCUUCUGCUCUGACCACCCACUGGCCAAAGGCGGUCUUGAACCGACUGGGACAACAUGGGCAGAGGCAUCAGCCUGGAGGUGCUGGAGUCCCAGGACGCGGUGGCUGGACCUUUAUACCAGGUUUCCCCAGCUGAGUUUCCCCCAGGAAAAGGAAAACCCUUCCCAGAAAGGCCCUCAGAAGCCGAGGUGUGGCCCCGGCAUCUGCCCCAGCCUCGCCACGGAGCGGGGCCCCACCCGGAGCUGCUGACUCACACCCACGUCGCCACCAGCUGCCCAGUGACUCAUGGGAACCUUCUGAAAUCGCCUGAAAUUGGCUGGGGUGGUACCCUAGUCCUAGGUGCGUGGCUGAGCCUUCAGUGGUGAAUUUCAGUACCAACCUGGCUACGUCUGCUGAAAACGUCGUGCUGCCGUGACCGGAGCGAGGGAUGCGAAGGAAACGCAGGCUCGGGGCUGGAGGACGGCAGCCAGCCGGGCCACGUGCCCUGCACCAGGCCGGCCUCGGUCAGUUCCCCGGUCCUGAGCAGCAGCCGAGAGCAGACUCUGAGCACGGGAGCCAGGAAUAGGCCCUGAGCACCACUGGGAGCUGCCCGCACCCCCUCCCCCAAGUCGCACACACACAAUUUCAAAGCUUGUUUUUUAA